CCCUUAGACGUUCUGGGCCGCACGCGCGCUACACUGACACAGGCAACGAGCUUUCCUUUACCGAAAGGUAUGGGUAAUCUUUUGAAACUGUGUCGUGCUGGGGAUAGAUCCUUGCAAUUUUUGAUCUUAAACGAGGAAUUCCUAGUAAGCGCGAGUCAUCAACUCGCGUUGAUUACGUCCCUGCCCUUUGUACACACCGCCCGUCGCUACUACCGAUUGAAUGGCUUAGUGAGGCCUCGGGAUCCGCGCUUAAUGUGUGGAGAAUUUGGACAAACUACGUCAUUUAGAGGAAGUAAAAGUCGUAACA
rnacentral:rRNA from 1 species